rnacentral:lncRNA from 1 species
UUUCCUCAUCCAUACUCAUCAAGUUCAAAUGACAACUGAAAAUUUUUCAUAAAUGGACCAAAUCAGCAAGCUGGCUGGGUUUUGAUGCCGGAUUGAAAAGUAACGUAUUCUAUACCUAAUGGCUACCUGAGAUGAUAUCAAAUGAUAAGUAAAAUACAGUAUCAACAUCAUAUAAUAAAUCAACUAGGACGAUGAAUCUCAAGUUCAGAGCUCUGUUAUCUCUGUCGUGGAGAACACAAUAUUCUCAAGAAUGAGAACCUUCAACAGUUGAAUUUAACUGGUUCCCUCCCCCAAAAGCCUGAGCUCUA